AUUGAACGCUGGCGGCAUGCCUUACACAUGCAAGUCGAACGGUAACGCGGGGCAACCUGGCGACGAGUGGCGAACGGGUGAGUAAUGCAUCGGAACGUGCCCAGUAGUGGGGGAUAGCCCGGCGAAAGCCGGAUUAAUACCGCAAACGACCUACGUGUGAAAGCGGGGGACCGUAAGGCCUCGCGCUAUUGGAGCGGCCGAUGUCAGAUUAGGUUGUUGGUGGGGUAAAAGCCGACCAAGCCGACGAUCUGUAGCUGGUCUGAUAGGACGACCAGCCACACUGGGACUGAGACACGGCCCAGACUCCUACGGGAGGCAGCAGUGGGGAAUUUUGGACAAUGGGUGCCACCCUGAUCCAGCCAUGCCGCGUGCGGGAAGAAGGCCUUCGGGUUGUAAACCGCUUUUGUCAGGGAAGAAACGCUUUGGGCUAAUACCCCGGGGUAAUGACGGUACCUGAAGAAUAAGCACCGGCUAACUACGUGCCAGCCGCCGCGGUAAAAC
rnacentral:rRNA from 1 species